rnacentral:rRNA from 1 species
AACGACUCUCGGCAACGGAUAUCUCGGCUCACGCAUCGAUGAAGAACGUAGCAAAAUGCGAUACUUGGUGUGAAUUGCAGAAUCCCGUGAACCAUCGAGUUUUUGAACGCAAGUUGCGCCCAAAGCCAUCCGGCUGAGGGCACGCCUGCCUGGGCGUCACACA